UAAAAAUGAAUUUUAUUUUGCUUGGGUAGUAGUAGUUAAAUUCUUGAAACUCAAAAAAUUUGGCGGUAUUUUAGUCUAUUCAGAGGAACCUGUAACAUAAUUGAUAUUCCACGUUGGACCUUACUUAAUUUUGUAUUCAAUUUGUAUACCGCCGUUAUUAAAAAUCUUAUAAGAGGAAUAAUUUUUAUAAAUUUUUAUAAAAAAGUAAAUCAGGUCAAGGUGCAGUUUAUAGUUAAGUGAUCUAUGGGUUACAAUAAAAUUAUUUAUAUGGAUUAAUUUUUGAAAUCAGAUUAUAAAAGUGGAUUUCGAUAGUAAAUUCUAAUAGAUUAUAAAAUUGAUCAUAGCUCUAAAAUACGU
rnacentral:rRNA from 1 species